GGGGGGGGGGGGGGGGGGGGCGGGGGGGUGGGGGGCGGGCGGGCGGGGGGGGGGGGUGGGCCGGUGGCGGUGGCGGCGGGCGGGUGGGUAACAGGGGGGUAACCUACCUCUACGGCGGGGAUAACUCCGGGAAACCGGGGCUAAUGCCGGCUAACAUUUAGACCCGCGGGGUUCUACAGUGAAAGAUGGUUUUGCUCUCACUUAUCGCUGGCCCCGCGCCGUAUCAGCUAGUUGGUAAGGUAACGGCUUACCAAGGCCACGAUCCGUAGCCGACCUGAGAGGGUGAUCGGCCACACUGGAUCUGAGACACGGUCCAGACUACUACGGGAGGCAGCAGUAGGGAAUCUUCCGCAAUGGGCGAAAGCCUGACGGAGCAACGCCGCGUGAGUGAUGAAGGUCUUCGGAUCGUAAAACUCUGUUAUUAGGGAAGAACAAAUGUGUAAGUAACUGUGCACGUCUUGACGGUACCUAAUCAGAAAGCCACGGCUAACUACGUG
rnacentral:rRNA from 1 species